rnacentral:rRNA from 1 species
AGAGUUUGAUCCUGGCUCAGGAUGAACGCUAGCGGCAGGCUUAACACAUGCAAGUCGAGGGGUAACGGGGUAGCAAUACUGCCGACGACCGGCGCACGGGUGAGUAACGCGUAUGCAACCUACCCAUAACAGGGGGAUAGCUUUCGGAAACGGAAAUUAAUACCCUAUAGUAUCUAAAUAUCGCAUGAUAUUAAGAUUAAAGUUACGACGGUUAUGGAUGGGCAUGCGUGCCAUUAGCUAGUUGGUGAGGUAACGGCUCACCAAGGCAACGAUGGCUAGGGGUUCUAAAAGGAUGAUCCCCCACACUGGUACUGAGACACGGACCAGACUCCUACGGGAGGCAGCAGUGAGGAAUAUUGGUCAAUGGGCGCAAGCCUGAACCAGCCAUGCCGCGUGCAGGAAGACAGCCCUACGGGUUGUAAACUGCUUUUAUAUGGGAAGAAAACGUUCUACGUGUAGAACACUGACGGUACCAUAAGAAUAAGCACCGGCUAACUCCGUGCCAGCAGCCGCGGUAAUACGGAGGGUGCAAGCGUUAUCCGGAUUUAUUAGGUUUAAAGGGUGUGUAGGCGGGAGUCUAAGUCAGUGGUGAAAUCUCACAGCUUAACUGUGAAACUGCCAUUGAAACUGGAUUUCUUGAGUAUAGUUGAGGUAGGCGGAAUGUGUAAUGUAGCGGUGAAAUGCUUAGAUAUUACACAGAACACCGAUUGCGAAGGCAGCUUACUAAGCUAUUACUGACGCUGAUGCACGAAAGCGUGGGGAGCGAACAGGAUUAGAUACCCUGGUAGUC